AUAUCAAUAAGGCGAGGAACAGAAACCAACCGGGAUUCCCCCAGUAGUGGCGAAUGAAGUGGGAAAAGCUCAAAUUUAAAAUCUGGCGGUCUCCGGCUGUCCGAGUUGUAAUCUAGAGAAGUGUUAUCCGCGCUGGACCGUGUACAAGUCUCCUGGAACGGAGCGUCAUAGAGGGUGAGAAUCCCGUCUUUGACACGGACUGCCAGGGCUUUGUGAUGCGCUCUCAAAGAGUCGAGUUGUUUGGGAAUGCAGCUCAAAAUGGGUGGUAAAUUCCAUCUAAAGCUAAAUAUUGGCGAGAGACCGAUAGCGCACAAGUA
rnacentral:rRNA from 1 species